CAAAUUACAAAUUGCAAUUCAAAUGCAAUCUAUUAAGAAUAUCAGAUAAUAAUCACAAAAAAUGAAAGCCGCUGGGCGUGAUUAUGCAUUCAGAGAAAAUUGCAAUUUCAACCAACUCUACUUAGUUAAGCCUAUUGUAUGACAUGGCACCAAGAUCACAAGGCUCAAACAACAGCCUAAUCUGCAACAUACCUGCAAACAACAGCCUAAUCUACAACAU
rnacentral:lncRNA from 1 species